CCAGGAUCCUGGUACCUCCCUUGGAAUUGUGCGCCAGAGCCCAGAAGGAGAAGUCGGAAUAUGGGUGGGGGGCAGAACUGAGAACUUGACCAUCGCGUGGCUCCGGGGGCCGGGGUCAAGCAGAUGAAGGGGGAAGCCGUCUCCCUUCCCUGAUUGCACGCCUCCCAGACCCGUGCUCACAAGCUGUCCCCGCAGCCUCCUCAGCAUAAAUUUGCUUUUCUGCUUAAACUAUCUCAGGGUCAUUCUGUUACGUGCAGCCAAAAGUCCCAACUGAUACACCACCAGGCAACAUAAAAUCUUGUAAUUGCUUCAGACUACUUUUAAAACAGAAACAGAAUUUUCAUUUCCUUCCAGCCAUUAACUUUCCCACAAACCCAACACCAAAAUGUUGAUUACAGGUGCUGUUAGAGGAAAGUCGUCUUUAGCAGAACCAGGUAGGGAUGACUCGGGCCACUGGAGAAGGGCUGUCCUGUCACAGAAUGCAGGCGUGCCAAGCAGUGAGGGACAGAGACCCUGACGGUGGGUGACAAACCGGGAACAGAGCCAACUACCGGCUUGUGUCUGGACGAGAUGCUUCUCGGCUGAAUCUCUGGGGCCCACCUGCCUCUACCUUCCGGCACCUUCCAACCACUGGAAAGUCUACGUGCAUCCUGGGCCCUGCUGACCUCUCAACUGGCCCACCUUGUGUGGUACACAAAAGACUAUCGGGAACGUUGGCUAGCUGGAGUUCCGAUUCAUGUGAAGAUACGACGAACACAGAUACUUGUGCACAAUCCCGGGGGUCCUGGGCCGUCCCCCGAGAGCUGCGUUUUGAUCAGUGUCUCCCUGUGAGGACCGACCGCGAGGGAACGGCUUUCCUCAGUUGCAGCUUGUGUUGGAGGGAGGGUGUCUCCAAAGAUAUUAGGCGUGUGUAUUCAUGAGCCACAAUCGGUUCAAACAUUAAAUGGAAACUUCACAAAUUCUGUCCCCGCUGAUGUGUCCCGGACCAGCUUAGGAAUCGGUACAAGCCCUGCCCUGAAGAGACAGGCAGUUGGAGCCAGCAGGGACAGAAGGUGUCUCCAGUGGAGGAAAUACAGCUCCUGGCAAUGUCCCGCCAGUGUCGUGGGGGCUCCGGGUUCGCGGACGUCCAUCUCUGUCUCCCCUGCACCGUGACCAGAUCUCAGAGCAGCCUGGCUCAAGUUCAGUCGAGGAGAGUGUCUUUGCCAGUGGGUGUGGGGCGUGAGUGUAUGUGUCAUGGGAGCAGAGACUCCCCUGGGUUCCUGGCCCCCCAAGAGGAGGGACAGGGCAUUUCAAACAGUGCUUAUUUUAUUUAAAGCAGGAAAGAAACAUGACGUUUUAUGCAACUCCAGGAUCUUGGAACUGCCAUAUUUAUGACGCAAGGAACCAGCAAACAAGGCUGCCUGGGGCUCAUUUGGCUGUAUAUUUGGUAGCACAUGAGCUGUUUGGGCACAGAAUCCAGGACACCGGGCACCAGUGGGGACAUCAAGUCUGUACCCCGGGCCGCUGUGUUGAGGAGGCAAACACUCCCCCCUUUGCCUGAAGGUUGGGCCACCGUCAGACUGGCGGCUGCUGGCUGUCCCCACCCUGGGCGGCUGCUGUCUCAGGCUCGGCCUGCCUCCAGCCGUCCGACAGCCUCUCCCAGCUCGCUGGGGACCCCUGUGCACCUUCCCCCUGACAGCACUGCGCCCUCUCUGUGCUGUGUCACACCCUCACCCACCAGCUACGCAUCUGGACAGAAGACACACGAAACCAGCGCCGUGGCAGUUGACGUCCUGUUCCACGAGCACCUGUCUUUCUCCUUCCAUAUUCUGGGCUCCUUGCCUUUGAGUAGGACCCGGCUGACAACAUCCACACUUACUUACUGACAGACAGGCCUCCUCCGGCCGGAACGUGCCGGCCUCAGGGGAUGCAUGUCGACGUGCAUCCCGGAGCCGCCCAUGGGGUCUGGCGCACAGUAGGCACACGACACAGACUUGCUGGAUGGCUGAUGGCUCCGUGAUCUCUCAAGAUGGUGGGAAGCGCUGUGACCACUUACUGAGCGUGCUGCUGUGUUCCAGCAUCUCGACUGUGGCAGAUGACCCUCGAGCAAUGCAGUUUGAACUGCUUGUGUCCACUUACCCGUGGCUUUUUUACAGUACACACUAAAUGCAUUUUCUCUCCCCUGUGACUUCCUUAAAAACGUUUUCUUUUCUCUGGCUGACUGUGUUGUGAGAAUACAGUAUACAAGGCAUACAGUGUACAAAAUACGGAUCAAUCAGCUGCUUAUGGCAUCAGUAAGGCUUCUGGUCAAUGGUAGGCUACUUGUAGUUAAAGUUUGGGGAAUUAAAAGUUCUCUGUGGUCAACCGUGAGGGGUAGGCACCCCUCACCCCUGUGUUGUUCAAGGUCAACUGUGCUUUGUCACCGUCAUGAGGGAAGACUCUCUGUGCUUCUCUGAAACUCUUAUUUAAGUA